rnacentral:tRNA from 2 species
GGGGUCGUAGCAUAACUGGCAGUGCGGCCGGCUCCAGACCGGCUGGUUCGGGUUCAACUCCCGCCGACCCCA